AAACAAUCUUUUCUUCUUUUUUGCCCCAAGUUAAGAUGCCUCGCAUUUAUGUAUGAUGUAUCUGAGGCUGCAUUUGUUUCAUGGAAAAUAUUUUCACAAGACAUUCUCAAGGAAAAUAGCUUCUUGCUUUCGAAAUGAGAAGUCAUUUUCUGGGAAGUCUUGACUAUCACAAGCUCAUAAAAGGGUAAGGAACCCAUAAGCAACUAUCUAGAUGCAUGACAAUUGGUGCAUUUACCACAGACAAUUACUGGCUAUUCAUAGCCACUGAUAGUCACCAAAGACAACCAAAACCCAUCCUUUUUGUGUAAUCUUCUAUCAUAUUCACUAACAAGUAGAAAAUUAUGAUUUCCUUAUAGGUCCAAACAUCUUCAAAGCUUAUUUAUUGAAAGAAAACAAUUUCUAAUUUAAUGCAAAAGCCGCAAAAUAGUUUCCAACAGAUUCUCAGUAUUGCAACCAAAAAAUAGAAAAUAAGUUAUUUUCUAAUACAGAAAAAUUAUUUUCCACAAAACAAAUGGAACCUUAAAUUAUGUAACAAAUCUAUUGGAUCACAGAAAGUUCCUAGCUCAAAUACAACUCAGAAUAAAAUGCUUAGCAAUUUACAAUCUUACAUCCCAGCUUCUAACAUGGAGCCUAUUGAGACCUCCUGCCAAACUAGAAUGCAACACAAUCAGUGUUAUUAAAGCGAAAAACAUUAAGG
rnacentral:misc_RNA from 1 species